rnacentral:sRNA from 1 species
AAAUGGUCCUUUUCUAUGCCAUGCUGC